rnacentral:misc_RNA from 1 species
AACAUCGCGCACCUGCGGGAACCUGCGGAAGGAUCAUUACCGAGUGCGGGUCCUCGUGGCCCAACCUCCCACCCGUGACUAUUGUACCUUGUUGCUUCGGCGGGCCCGCCAGCCCUGCUGGCCGCCGGGGGGCGUCUCGCCCCCGGGCCCGUGCCCGCCGGAGACCCCAACAUGAACCCUGUUCUGAAAGCUUGCAGUCUGAGUGUGAUUCUUUGCAAUCAGUUAAAACUUUUAGCAACG